rnacentral:rRNA from 1 species
UACGUAGGGGGCUAGCGUUGUCCGGAAUCAUUGGGCGUAAAGCGCGCGUAGGCGGCCCGGUAAGUCCGCUGUGAAAGUCAAAGGCUCAACCUUUGAAUGUCAGCGGAUACUGCCGGGCUAGAGUCCGGAAGAGGCGAGUGGAAUUCCUGGUGUAGCGGUGAAAUGCGCAGAUAUCAGGAGGAACACCAAUGGCGAAGGCAGCUCGCUGGAACGGUACUGACGCUGAGGCGCGAAAGCGUGGGGAGCGAACAGG